AUUGAAUAAUGAAGAGCGGGAGAAGAGAAAAAGGAAGAGACUGCAGCAUACUCUUUCUUCAUUUGAGGAUGAGGACUUCUAUGACCAAGAUGAACGACGUAACACUCAGCCAGCCCCUCAACUUCCAGAACGUGCACCAGAGCCCAAGCAAAAACGCACACGUGAGCUGUGCGCACCUGCUUUAAACAGAAGGCAGAAAACAAUGAGCCAGCCAUCAUC